rnacentral:tRNA from 1 species
GGUUUUAUAGUCAAAUUAUUAUGAUAUUAGACUGCAAUUCUAAGGUUGUUUUUAAAACUAAAACCU